GCCCCCAGAAGAAUAGCUCAGUUGGCAGAGUAUGAGGCUCUGAAUCUCAGGGUUGUGGGUUCAAGUCCCACAUUGGGUG